rnacentral:lncRNA from 1 species
CUUCUAGAGCUGCACCCGAGGCAUAUGGAAGUUCCCAGGCUAGAGGUUUAAUCAGAGCUGUAGCUGCCAGUCUACACCACAGCCACAGCAACGUGGGAUCCGAGCUGCGUCUGCAACCUACACCGCAGCUCAUGGCAACGACGGAUCCUUAACCCACUGAGCGAGGCCAGGGAUCAAACCCGAAACCUCAUGGGUCCUAGUCGGAUUCGUGAACCACUGAGCCAUGAUGGGAACUCCAAAAAAAACACGUUUGUUUAGGCAAACUUUUAUGGUUUGUAUGAGUCUCCUAUUCUCUGGGUUUUUUUUUUUUUUUUUUUUUGGUCUUUUUAGGGCCACACUCGUGGCAUAUGGAGGUUCCCAGGCUAGGGGUCAAACCAGAGCUAUGGCUGCCAGUCUGCCACAGCCACAGCAACAUGGGAUCCGAGCUGUGUCGAAGAACUACACCAUAGCUCGUGGCAACACCGGAUCCUUAACCCCCUGAGUGAUGUCAGGGAUCGAACCUGUGUCUUCGAGGUUGCUAGUCAGAUUGGUUUCCACUGAGCCAUGAUAGGAACUCAAAGUCUCUGGUUAUGAAUGUUUAAAAAAAAAAAAAAAGUCUUGGGAAGAGACUGACAGUUCAGUAAUCUUUGCCAGCUGGCAUGUUCAAAAUGGAAUCUAAAUAUUGUAUGAACAGUAUCAAUUACAAGCAGGUUCGAUGGGCCUUAAUAAAACACGCUUGAAUUGUGAGAGAAAUUCUCAUUAUUUUGUGUUUCACCCAGCUUUAAUUUACUACAUUGAUUUAACAAAAUCUAUGACAAUCUCAUUUUUUAAAAUCAUGUAAGAUUUCUGAGGUUCACUACAUGGGCAUAACAAUCAUCUGAAAGUAGCAGGCAUAAUGAAAAUUUUGUUGCCCAAUUGUUUUUGAAACUUUUUGUCUUCCAUAUGCACUCGUGGCAUAUGGAAGUUCCGGGGCGAAGGGUUGAAUCAGAGCUGGAGCUGCUGGCUUAUACCACAGCCACAGCCACAGCCACACUGGAUCCGAGCCACACCUGUGACCUACACCGCAGCUGAGGCAACAGUGGAUCCUCAGCCCACUGAGCAAGGGCAGUGAUCAAACGAGGAUGCUCAUGGCCACUAUGUCAUGUUCUUAAC